rnacentral:rRNA from 1 species
CCUACGGGUGGCAGCAGUGAGGAAUAUUGGUCAAUGGCCGGAAGGCUGAACCAGCCAUGCCGCGUGAAGGUCAGUGCCCUAUGGGCGUUAAACUUCUUUUCUGAGGGACGAAGAAAGUGACGGUACCUCAGGAAUAAGCCACGGCUAACUACGUGCCAGCAGCCGCGGUAAUACGUAGGUGGCAAGCGUUAUCCGGAUUUAUUGGGUGUAAAGGGCGUGUAGGCGGGAAAGCAAGUCAGAUGUGAAAACUCAGGGCUCAACCCUGAGCCUGCAUUUGAAACUGUUUUUCUUGAGUGCUGGAGAGGCAAUCGGAAUUCCGUGUGUAGCGGUGAAAUGCGUAGAUAUACGGAGGAACACCAGUGGCGAAGGCGGAUUGCUGGACAGUAACUGACGCUGAGGCGCGAAAGCGUGGGGAGCAAACAGGAUUAGAUACCCCUGUAGUC